rnacentral:rRNA from 1 species
UACAGAGGUCCCAAGCGUUGUUCGGAUUCACUGGGCGUAAAGGGUGCGUAGGCGGUCGGGUAAGUCUGAUGUGAAAUCCCGCAGCUUAACUGCGGAACGGCAUUGGAUACUAUUCGGCUUGAGGAGUGGAGGGGAGACUGGAAUUCUCGGUGUAGCAGUGAAAUGCGUAGAUAUCGAGAGGAACACCUGUGGCGAAGGCGAGUCUCUGGACACUUCCUGACGCUGAGGCACGAAAGCCAGGGGAGCAAACGGG